rnacentral:rRNA from 1 species
AAGGAAUAUUGGACAAUGGACGGAAGUCUGAUCCAGCCAUGCCGCGUGCAGGAUGAAGGCGCUCAGCGUUGUAAACUGCUUUUGGAUGGGAAUAAUAACCUCGACGUGUCGGGGCUUGAAGGUACCAUCAGAAUAAGCACCGGCUAACUCCGUGCCAGCAGCCGCGGUAAUACGGAGGGUGCAAGCGUUAUCCGGAAUCACUGGGUUUAAAGGGUGCGUAGGCGGCGCGAUAAGUCAGUUGUGAAAUUCCCCGGCUCAACCGGCGGGACUGCGAUUGAUACUGUUGUGCUUGAAUCAGGUUGAGGUAGGCGGAAUGUGGCAUGUAGCGGUGAAAUGCUUAGAUAUGCCAUAGAACACCAAUUGCGAAGGCAGCUUGCUGGACCUGUAUUGACGCUGAGGCACGAAAGCGUGGGGAGCAAAC